GAUUAAAUGGCUGAGAAUAGGCAAUAGACUGUAAAUCUAUUUACAAGAAUUAAUUUCUUUUUAAUCA
rnacentral:tRNA from 1 species